CGGCAAUGGAGGAAACUCUGACCGAGCAACGCCGCGUGAAUGACGAAGUACUUCGGUAUGUAAAGUUCUUUUAUCAAGGAAGAAAAGCAAAUGGCGAACCAUUUGUUUGCCGGUACUUGAUGAAUAAGCCCCGGCUAAUUAUGUGCCAGCAGCCGCGGUAAGACAUAAGGGGCAAGUGUUAUCCGGAAUUAUUGGGCGUAAAGGGUGCGUAGGCGGUCUAGUAAGUCAGUGGUGUAAUGGCAACGCUUAACGUUGUCCGGCUAUUGAAACUGCUAAACUUGAGUUAGAUAGAGGCGAGUGGAAUUCCAUGUGUAGCGGUAAAAUGCGUAAAUAUAUGGAGGAACACCAGAGGCGUAGGCGGCUCGCUGGGUCUUAACUGACGCUGAGGCACGAAAGCGUGGGGAGCAAACAGGAUUAGAUACCCUGGUAGUCCACGCCGUAAACGAUGAGUACUAAGUGUCGGGUUAAACCGGUACUGAAGUUAACACAUUAAGUACUCCGCCUGAGUAGUACGUACGCAAGUAUGAAACUUAAAGGAAUUGACGGGACUCCGCACAAGCGGUGGAUCAUGUUGUUUAAUUCGAAGAUACCCGAAAAACCUUACCAGGUCUUGACAUGUUUUUGCAAAAUGAUAGUAAUAUCGUGGAGGUUACCAGAAACACAGGUGGUGCAUGGUUGUCGUCAGCUCGUGUCGUGAGAUGUUAGGUUAAGUCCUAAAACGAGCGAAACCCUUAUCGUUAGUUGCCAGCACGUUAUGGUGGGGACUUUAACGAGACUGCCAAUGAUAAAUUGGAGGAAGGUGAGGAUCACGUCAAAUCAGCAUGCCCCUUAUGACCUGGGCUACAAACGUGAUACAAUGGCUGUUACAAAGAGUAGCUGAA
rnacentral:rRNA from 1 species